UACAGAGGUCUCAAGCGUUGUUCGGAUUCAUUGGGCGUAAAGGGUGCGUAGGCGGCGCGGUAAGUCGGGUGUGAAAUCUCGGAGCUUAACUCCGAAACUGCAUUCGAUACUGCCGUGCUUGAGUACUGGAGAGGAGACUGGAAUUUACGGUGUAGCGGUGAAGUGCGUAGAUAUCGUAAGGAAGACCAGUGGCGAAGGCGGGUCUCUGGACAGUUCCUGACGCUGAGGCACGAAGGUCAGGGGAGCAAACGGG
rnacentral:rRNA from 1 species